UUUUCAGACCUAUGCAAUCAUAUUUUGAGAUAAUGCUUCAGGGUGGGAACACAGCAGAGUUGCUUAAUUUAUGGUGUGCCUUAGCUAUCUGGGAAGGG
rnacentral:SRP_RNA from 1 species